UACAGAGGUCCCAAGCGUUGUUCGGAUUCACUGGGCGUAAAGGGCGCGUAGGCGGCCUUCUAAGUCGAACGUGAAAUCCCCGGGCUCAACCCGGGAACUGCGUCCGAUACUGGAAGGCUUGAAUCCGGGAGAGGGAUGCGGAAUUCCAGGUGUAGCGGUGAAAUGCGUAGAUAUCUGGAGGAACACCGGUGGCGAAGGCGGCAUCCUGGACCGGCAUUGACGCUGAGGCGCGAA
rnacentral:rRNA from 1 species